CAACCACCUCCCAAAAGGUGAACAUUAAUAUUCUGAUUUUCAGUUGUUAGACCUGUGCUCUGACCUUAGAGCUGCAGGGACAGGGGAAUGUGGGAGGAAAGCGCAGCUCGGGAGGUGAGGUACCCCAGCUCCAUCCCUGCAGCAUCGGUGGAGGGAAACACCUCUGGUGAGGUCUGAUCCUAUCGGAAAGGUUGUGCCGUGACAGCUCCUGUGUCAGAUCGCUGUCUCGGAGCGUUUUUCAAUGUGAGAAAAGUGGAGAUGAAUCUUCAUGGAUGCAGCCUCAUUAUCUAAGUGACAUUUAAGCGUAAUUUAUGCCAGAUGUCUCACCACUUCUCUGGUAGGAAAUUGUGUUGUUGGUUCCCCAGCUCUUGGCUUCUGCGGCAACUGUGUCAGAAAUAUUGAAAUAAAUCGAUCUGACUUCAGUUCCCUGUGCAUUUUUAUUGCCGGUUUAUCAACACGGGCAAGGCACUAAAUGAGUUAUGUUCGCGGGAGGAGGAGGAAGGCGAAGGCGUGGUGGCCUGGCUGCCCGCGCCGUCACUAAAAAGGGGUUUGGGUGUCUCGGCAAUUGCCGCUGCCCACGCUAGGGAUCCGGCUGAAUUCUCUGCACCUCGAGUUUUCCUUCUUUUCUUUUUUUAAUCGCAUCCUAAUUAGGGAACCAGCAAAAGCUUUAAAAAAAAGAAAACAAACAAACAAAAUUAAUGAGCAGCGUCAGGGGAGGAAAAAAGCGUUUUCUGGCCGGAGUCCUUGGCAUGGGUAGGAAAUAGCUGCUCCUCUUGGAGAGCGUUUAGUCCGCUGUGAGCUGCCAGCUGAGGAAGUCAAGUGAAAACCAAGUGCCUGGAAGCUGAGUUCGCUGCAGCCUCCCUCUGCUUAGCUCAUUUAGUGCCUCAGCCCUAGCAGUGGGUACUUGGAUGUUUACUCCCAGACUAAAUUGCUUUUGGAGCUCCGACUCAUUUGUCAGCGAGAGAGAAAACAAGCUGUCGUUUGGACUAACAGCCUUCACAGCUCCUUCUCCUGGUCGGUCGUGCUCACGUCGAGCAUCCUCAGCCAAGGGCCAACGCCGUCCCCGUUGCGAGCGCUGCUCGGGAUCCGCGAUGGAGGCAGCUGGUGAGCAGGGGAGGAUCUUAGCAUCUUGCUGCUGAAACCCUUCUGUAAAGACCCAGGGCCGGCUGCUGUGCCCCUGGGCAGCGGCUCCAGGAAUCACCCGGAGCAUCCUGCGGAAGCGGCCCAGGCUCCCUCCCCACUCCUUGGCAGCCGUGCUGCCCGGAGCUGUUGGGUGCCAGUAUUUGCCAGUGUGGAGAGAAAGGCUCCUGGCGCUGGCAUCCACAGGAGGCUGACAUGCUCGAAGCCGCAAACUCUUGCUGGAAAAGUUUCACGUGUCUGGGAAGUGUCAGAGUCUUGUCAAACCUCGGAGCUUCCCAGUUCCUCUGGGAGACUGGCUUGGCUCGCGGGCUUUGUUCAAAACAAACAUCGCCAGGUGCUCACAUGAAUGAGGAGGCUGUCUGCUAUAGAUUGUGAGCUCAGUAAGAGUUGAUAAUUCUCCAGCAUUUGUUUAUAUACGCAGCUGCUGCUUAUAUAUGGCAUUGGGAAGCAGCUCAUGGUAUAAACCUCCUUCAUUUGCACGUCCCCCUGCACAAUUUGGGGGUCAAUUUUCUUACCCUUGUGUUUGAUUCUUUCUGGCCAGUGUGUAUUUUGGGGUUGAAUUUUUUUGCUUGUUCUCGCUUUGGGGUUUUUUGGCUUCUUGGCCUCUCUUGCCUGCAGGGAACUGGUCCAUCCGAAAGCUGAGUUUUGCCUUGCCUUUGGGCAUCACCCGCCGCUGCAGGCAGCCACGCCACUUGGCUGUGGCCGACUAAGAGUGUGACUGCAUACAAGUAAAAUACUGGUCCUAGCGGGUAUUUCUGGAGUUCCCGGGGUCAUUUUCUGUGGCUUUAAGCCUUUCAUUGCAAAGGUUGCUGAUAUGAUGGGCCACUUCUGCAGCCGGUGCUCCCUUUACCUGUGGCAGCAUUGCCUUUCCUCCCAAGCGCCGAGCAGCAAAUGUUUUCCUUGUAGGCUGUGUGAAAAACUCAUUGCAGGGGAAAGAUUCGUAAAACCUUACCUUUGUCCUCCAGGUCUGCUUCACAAAGGUAGCAGGAGGUAAUUCACUGAUUUUCACUAACUCUGCCGUAUACUGGCCUGUGAAAGUCCUUGCUGCAUGAAGAGCACUCCUUGUGCACGCAUGUUCUUCCCCUUUUUUCACAGACCGUCCCAGCUCUAGAGAAAUGGGCAAGCAGUUUCUAGUCUGUGGGGAAGUGAUGCUAGAUUGCUUUUUUAGCAAUGCUCCUCAGUAGAACUUUCAGAAUUUGCCCCAAAGUUUUGGGCAGGAAGAAGAAUGUAGUUUUCUUGCUUUGGACUGAACUUAGGAACCCAAACGGAGACAUUUAAUGCCUCACAGGGAUUAUUAGAAACAAAAAAGCAUUGGAAAGAAAGCGUGCCAUAAAUCCAAGCCUUUCUGUAAGCUCUAAAUCUGUUACACGUUAGGCUGUAGUCUUCUAAAACAAAAGUGACUGCACCAAAUAGAGACUGUUAUUGUCUAAAUAUUUCUGCUGGGAAAUGCUGCAUGAAGAGAAGACACAAUAGCUGCCCUGACGCAGGAUUUAUUAGAGCAAGUUGGCACCAGACUAUUUGUAGGGAGCGGAAUAUGCUUGUAGAGAUUAUACCAGAUUUACAGUGAUUAAUAAUGGAUUGGACAUGGCAGACUUCAAAGGGUUUGGCUCCCUCGCAGUUUGGUGGUAGGUUGAGUUGAAAUAAAAUUGCAGAUUUGCUCCUGUGGUUCAAACAAGUUUUUUUUCCUCGGAGAGCAAGGCUUUUGGCCAGACAGCAUCAGCGAAGCCCCACUCCUCGUGCCUUCAGCCCCCUUUAGCUUCGUGCGGGCAGCACGGCCGAUGCAGCGGCACGCCGAGGUUGCCACCCAGCUUGGCACGGUUCCCUGCAGAGAUCUGCUCGCCGCCACGGCUGAACCCGCUCCGGUGAGUGCCCGGCCGGCUCCUGCACCCCGGGAGAUGCCCUGCGCUGGGGACGGCGCUGCAUCUGCCAAAAAUGGCCCAAGGGCCACCCCGACCCUGCGGCUGCUGGGGAAGGUGAAGCCCUUAGCUAUGGGAAGGGUUCUUCUCCGAGAUGGAACGGGGAGCUCACCUACCAGGAGGAUGAGCGGGGAUUUUGUCAUCAGUCGGAGGGAUUAAGCGAGCCAGGAAAUGUAGGACAUCCCUCUCGCUCGCAAUGUCUGUGCGCACACAGACCUCGAGCUAUUUUUAAAGACCUUCCAGCGUAUGCCGUGGCUGUAACUUUUGGUAUUAAAUGCUUGAAAUCUGCUCCUUGCAGCAGGAGCUCCCUCUCCCAUGUUGUCCGGAGGCUCCUGACCACGCCGAGGACAGCACAAUAAACAAAGAUCAAGACUUUCAAAACUAAUAAUAGUGUUAUUAAUUAUGUGUUAUUAUAAACAUGCUCUCAUUUGAUCUUUGGCAGGCGAUUUAGUGCUGUCCUGCAUGCAGCUGUGAUUGCGCUCUGCCCAACUGCAUCACUUCUCUUUCCUCAUCUGCUUGAGCACUCAGAUGGAUGCGUGUUAACGUAAGAUCGCUCAGACGAGUUGGGAGGCAUCUUGAGCUAAUGAAGACAUUUCCCCUGUAUCUGCUGUUAUCUGGGUGCCUGGAAGAACUGCGGAGGAGCUCUCAUCCUGCUCCAGGCAGGGCUGAUGGGAUUUGCACCGGUCCCAGUUGCCAUGGAGAAAGCGUUAGAUGGCUUUAAUACAUCUCCGCGAAUUUCUCCCCGGAGUUUUCCCGUGACAAGCUGGACUGGAGGUUCAUCAGUCUGCCCUGCCUUUAACCUAAAAGAUAAUUGGAGGUGACCGCGAUGGAAUCAAGUACGCCUGAGGUGGACGUUUUCAAGGAGAAAGGAGACGGCAAGAAAAUUAGGAGGAGCAGGGAGAGAAGGGCUGGCUGUCAAAACCCACGGCAGUUUCUGGAAACUUCAGGAACGAGACCCAGGACGGUGGGUUUGGGAGCCGGCUCUGGGGCCAGCCAGGGAGCUGGCACUCGUUUUGUCAGUGCCACCUCCUUCCUCUUCCUUUUUGCCACCUUAUUUUAGGAUUUAUACCCCCCCUGCAGCCCCGGUUGGUACUUCUAGCUGCUUUAGAUUCUCUAAACAUUUUCUCUUCAGCAGCUUAUGGGCUUUUGAAAUACGAAGUCCAUCAAUCACCAGUUAAUGUCACCUCCACAGCAGUUUCUGCUUCCAGGCAGCCUCCGUUGGGGCCGGAUUUGGUGAGCGGCUGCAGCCAUAGCCAAAAAUCAGGUUACCCGGCUCCUUGUUCUCUCCUUCCUUUGUUUUCCAGGGGUUUCAGUGAAAUCCCCUGCAAACUCAGCCGCUCCGCUGGAGGCUGCCCCAGAGCUUGGCUUAGAGGAUGAUUUCCCAUGGAGUGCCGUGGAGAGGAGAGGUUGCACGGCGAAACGUGUGCUUCAGCUGAUACACCGGGGUUAAAAAUGCCUGGGGCAGCUCGUGGUCCUGCCGUGGCCGAUGGCUGCUGUUUGCUUCCCACCGGCACCGAAAAUAGCGUGGGGGUCAUGACUGGCAGCCAGUUUGGGUGAUCAGCCACGGGAUGGCUGCUUCCCCUCAAAGCCAACUGAGGCAGCAGCAGCAGAAGGGAAAGGGGAGCAAACAGCCAAAAAUACAGUCCGAGCAUCUUCUGCUACGGGACUUGCGGCACUGGACUUGUGGUCCUCUGCCGCAAUGGCACUUGGGGGUCUCCUAAAAGAAGUUUCUGAUUAUUCUGGGCAGUAAUUGCAUCAGUUAAACAAUUUUAAAGGAAGACCAAUCUUUUUAUCUAUUUCCAGCCUUGUGCAGUUGAGUGCAGUGCCCCUUGCAAAAAGUCGGGGGGGGAUUGGCAUGAGAAAUGGUGGCGACGCGAGCUGAGCCAAACAGGCGGCAGAAGAAAAAUCAUCCUCGCAAAAAUGCCAGCGUCAAGCCUGGCAGGGAGAGAAGGAGAAAGAUGCUGUUUGAAGGAGGAAAACAUAAAAGCCUCUGUGGGAAUGGUACCUGCGUGGGAAAUACUGCCCCAGACUGCAGUGUUGGGCGAUGCCAGAGGCUGCUCCCUCCCAAAGAAGACAGGCGCAUCUGGAUUCCCUGCAGCAGCAGCCUUAUCUCCUGCUCCCGGUGCAUCCUCGCUCCUCGGGCUCUCUCGUAAACUCGCCAAAUCUGCUCUACCUGGCAACUCCCGGUUAUCCUUCCAGGUUUGCAUCGCCUGUGCGCUCCAUCCUGCUGCAGCCACGUGAGCAGCCCCAGGCCAGGGAGGACUGUGCCAAGACCAAGGUCUCCUCGGGCUCAAAGACCAUUUACUGCCUAAUAAGGAGAGCUUUUCUAUUUUGGCAUUUCUUUUCCCAUGGUAUUAUCAGUGCUCGGGAGAAAAAGCUAAAGCAACAGAGAAAAUUAGCGCAGCCACAAGGUAUUGGGCUCAGAGCAGGAAUGAGCGUGGGAGCAUCCCCGGUCUGUGCUGCGGGAGCUCAGGCUGGGUGAUGGAAGGGGACGCACCUGCAAAUGCCACGCGCUGGGCGAGAGCGCAUUAACCCCCAGCCCGCCGUUAGGGCACGGCGCUUCCCUCGUCCAUUAGGCAGAUGAGAUUCGCAGGGGUCAAAGCCUCGCCUGAGAAACGAGCGUGGAGAGACAAGCCGGAGACGAUUAGGGAAAUGGCCAGAAAUUGCGAAAUUAGAGAUGAAAACCCUCCGUGCGCGGAUCGGCGCGAGGCGGCUGAAGCGAGAAGCGGAGCUGACCCCGGGCUGGGUGAGCGCACGCCCCUGGGCAGGCGAGCCAGCCCUGCACCACGUUUCCAAGGCUGUUUCCAACCCAAACCUCGUGCCUUCCCGGGCUUUGCCAUCCUCCUCCCGCAGGGAGCCGUGGGCACAGCCCGGCUACAGGCUUUUCCCGCAUGCUCGGGGGCCCUUGCAAGCCUGCGGCAGCAUCAGCAGGAGAGCCUGCAUCCCCUACGAGAGCUGCCCCGCUGCCCGUGGGGUCACGGCGUCCCCGGUUCAGCCCUUCCCAGGCUGGAAAGCUACAGCCAAUUUAUGCGAAAUGCUGUCGGAUGGAGUUCAGAGGGCUGUUAAAUUGAUUCGGCUGUUCUCAGGUAGCCACGUCAGAAGGAAAAGAGGCUCUGCCGAGAAAGAGAAGUCCAGGGAGGUUGGGGAAAAUUGCAUUUAUUUUCAGGUGGGAUGCGAGCGAGGCCAGCUGGCGGUGGCCUCAGCCUGACAGCAUUGCCUCAGGUCUCCAAAGCAGUGUUUAUUUACCACAGGGUGAGGCGUUCAGUGUAAGUUAUUCUGAGGAGCUAAUACUGGCUAGCUGCUAGCUGUGUGUUCAGGAAAGAAAGAAAACACUUUUAUUCCGCCUCGUCUUUGGGUUCCCAGUGCGGUGAUGCUGUAGCACCAGUCCGUGUUUUGGUGUGCCUUUCAUGUUAAAGUUUGGGUGCCAAAGGGAAUUACGUGGUUGCCUGAAGAGCAGCAGCGAGCUGUAGAAUAAUACAUCAACUUCAAAUUGGCAAGAGCAGGCUGAGUAAAACAAGGUGCCGUUCCUUCCAAGGCGCUGAUUUACAAUGCAUCAGCCCUGACCCCGCCGGCACUUUCCCCGCAAAAAGAAGCGAUUAUCUGCUGCCAGCCGUCCACUGAAACACGGCGCGAGGAAUUUUAGCUGAAAUAUUCCGUAUUUCAAUUACUCGCUACAAGUGGCUUGCCCGAAUUCCUAAAUGCUUCAGGAUGUGUUUUGCUAUAAAGCCGCCGGCACUCAUCCAGCCCCACGCGCCCAGCCUUGCCCUGACGCGGGCAGGAGCAGGCAGAGGGGGUGCGGGCACCCGGCUCUUCGGGGGGACGAGGGGAUGGAAGGAGGAUCGGCUGCUCUGCUCCCAGCAGGUUCUUGUAUUGCUCCUUUCCCCCUCGGAGGCGAGACGCUAAGUCAGUGAGCAGAAGACUUUCCACCCUCUGCAGCAGAUCAGAAAACCACAAUAUCUAAAUGUUUGGACUUCUUGUUCCCAACCUAUUGCUGCAUUAAAAGAUAAUUAAUGCACUGAUGAUACAGCUUUUAAAGGCACAGGUACCUGAAAACACCAGGCUUCUCUCCCUUCAUCAUUUGAAUGACACAGCUCUGAAAAAGGGCCACUCUGGCUGUUGGAGAGGAAGGGUUUCUUCUUUGUUCUGGUCGCAUUAGGAUAUCCUGAUGCUUCUUGCCUGCCUGCCCUCGUGUCGGCUGCGCUCCCCCCGCAGCACCCGGCCGUCCCCAGGCUCCUGCUGUCUCCGUUGCUCCGUGGCAAGGUCACAGGCUGCAAUCGCAGCACUGGUAGGAACCCGAAGUGAGGUGUCUUUGAGGCGUUGUAAGAGACUCGGUCAUUCGGUUCACGCUGAUUUGCAAGAGUGCCUGGCUUCCCACUUGGAAAAGUGCAAAACGGAAUCUUUUGGCAAAAGUAAACUGGGUCCACGGGAUUAAAAAGAACUGUGAAAAAGAAAUCGCUGGCCAAAUUCCCAAGGAGCAACGUCGAUUCUUUCGGCGCUGGGGGCUGCAGACGUUUCCACCGAGGAGCCGGGAUGCCCUGCUCCCUCCCCGGGUGCUGCCCACGCGUCUCACCCGGGCCAGCGUCCCCCGGGCAGCGGCUCAUCCCAUCUCCGUGCCGCCCUGCCUAUGGCUGGCAGCUGUUGGAGAGGGAAUUACCCUCUGCCCUUCCACCGGCGUGUAGGAAAAGGGCUUUGUAGCAACCGGGUUCCUCUGUGGUUUAUAAAGGGGUUGACCUGCACAUUUCUGAAAGCAGGUCCUAGAGCGCUUUGCAAUAUUGUCCCUGUGUGCAAGGAUCAAUGUUUUCUUAGAAGGUAAGGAUUCGUCAGCAUGCUUUUCCCCCUCCUUUUGGCAGCGGGAGGUUUUCCUGCCCAGCACGGGGGGAGUGCAGAGAAGAGCACGUGAAAUGGUGGUGUGGCCCUGCUGUGCUCCACGUGUGCUGUGAACAGCCACGGGACGGUCGAGCUGUGAAUAUAAUACCUUCCUACAGCGAUAUAUUCGGCAUCUGUGUUCAAAAUUGAUACACUUUUCUAUCUUAAAAAUACUAAUCGGUUUUUAUCGGUGGCAUCAGACUUCCCUGUGUGAGUACUGCUCCACUAUCAGCCAUACGCAUGUUACGGUGUGGUAAAAGAUAUCAGAACACAUUCAAAGCUGUAUUUUGCUCUUUGGAAACCCAGUUCCCAGUGGGUUGUUCCAAGGCCGGUUUGUGGGUCCACAUCUGCACGCUGGGAGCACAGCCCCGAGCCGCAGCCCCAUGGAACCUGCCACGGCAGGCGCUGUGACACGAAUCCAGCUGCAGAUCACUCCGCAUGAUUAGGCUCCGUCUAAUUGCGCCCUGUUCCCUGUAACGCGCCCCGGUUCUCAGCCGACACUCUUUGAAGGAGAUGGCUGUGACCUGCAAGCAGCACUCUCCGAGCUUGUAAUGCUCACCGUAACUCUCCGAAACUUCUUUUCUCACAACCCGAGAAAGUGCUCAGGGCAGCUAUUAAAGUGUAAUCAAUCAGUGUCAAAUAAAAGUCAUCAGAAUAUGACUAAGACUCUGAUUGCCUGUAACCAAGAUAAUUAGACGGUGAGGAUUUUCUUUCUUUCCCCUUUCUGCAAGGAGGCUAAAAGCCUCCAAAAUUGGAGCUAAUAUCCUGUCUCUGGAGCGAGGUGAGUUCACAUUUGACCUACUGUUCAAAUAAAAAUUCUCCUCAAAUCCAGCCCAACCUGGCGAUGGCAAUCAUGGCAGGGGCUUCAGCACAGACCUAUCCGAAGAACACUAAGGAAAAUAUAAUCCCUGAAAUUUCUUUCCACUUAGUAUGCGUGAUCGGGCAGAUUUCAAGGGUGAUGGGGCAGGAGAGAAGGUCUUUGCUUCACUCAUUAAUCACCGCCGUGCGAGCAGCCUUCGUCCCAGCAUAGGUGAGCAUCACUCUGGAAGCAUUUGCUAAAUAAAGCCACGCAUGCCUCAGCGGCAAGGCAAGGGAGGGUGAGAUAAACUGUGGGUUGAGGUGGGAGGGAGGGGACGUGCCGCAGGCAGAUCCCUCUCCCCGUGGCCCCAGCAUCCCAGCGUCUCCGCUCGGGAAGGCUCAGCCCUGGGACGAGCCGGGGGUAUGGCCGCUGCCUCCUGCCUGGAGGUCCCAGGCUGGGACACCGACCCUGGCGCUGCUCGGUGAGGCAGAUCUGCCUCGGCUGCUCCCCUCCGGCUCAGACUGAAGGGCUUUCCCUCUGUUUUCUGCAAAAAGACCUCGCUAGGAAGCAGAGGAGGAGCCUUUACGCGCGGCCCCACGGUGCUGCGACGCUGCGGUCCUCCGGCCAGGCUCCGGUGCGCCCGCACCGUGCCGGCACUGCUGUCCCGGUUGGUUCCAGCCUGGGCGUCGCGAGCCUCCCGUGUCAAAGAGGUCUUCUUCGCAUCUCCAAUAACGCCGUAGUGAUUUCCUCAGGCUGCGUUUCUAUACUCCCUGUCACCGCUUAUCUGUCUCCUCUUGCUCUCCAAAUCCUCUUUCCAUUUAUAUUGCCUUUAAUGAAGUGCUGCCGUCCCGCAGUGCCGCCGCCGCCGCACCUUCGCCCGUCCGGCGCUGCCCCGCGUACCAGCACCCUGACAUUGUCCAGCUGAGCCAAAGGCCAAAGUUGCGGCUCUUAUCCCACAUUUGCAGAGAUGAAGCACGAGGCUUUCUGCCUGGUUAGCCAUAUUGCCUGGCUGAUGUUGAGGCAGGUUUUUCGCCUCCAGCUGUUUCUUUUUUUAUCAGAUAUGUGAUGUUUUUCUCCUGUCGUCCUGCCUUUAAGGCAACCCACAAAGGAAGCAAACAAAUGAGGUGCUCAUUAUUUUGUCCUUUUUUUCUCCACUCCUUGAAUGUUUUAUUGAUCCAUUUCUUCCUCGCCUCAUCUGUGCAUGGUUGGGCAUGGAGCUUGUUUGGGAAGGUUUAUGGCAGGAAAGGCCAGGUCCUUUCCCGAUGUAAUUUUGUUCCUGGUGAAGGCAAUGUCACUAGCCGGGGGCUGGCAGCGGGAGGGUGCUCUGGAGGAGCCGAGCAUCGUGGUGGGCUCCCUGGACCAGGUCUCCUCUUCCCAGGGCCGGGUGAGGUGAGGAGCCCGGCGGGUGCUGAGCUGUCCGAGCACACAGCCUGGACGGACAUCCCCCGCCUCUGCUCUGCGGGAUCAGCUGCCGGCUUCCCCAGCUGUCCGGUCCUCGGCAUCGCCCCGAAAGGUCCUCGGCAUCGCCCACUGCGGGGCCCCACCUGUGCCGAGCAUCGCCAGGCUGCCACAGCCAGCAACCAAGCCAUCCGAGUGAUCUACUUUCCUAAGCACCGAGUAAUUAAAAAAACACCAAAUGGAAGUAAUUCCCACUUACGAGAAAGGACCUGCUGGAAUUCGUGAUGGGAAGGAGGCAUUCAACAGAUGUGCAUUAGCAUAAUGUGGAAACGGCGUGAAGCACGAUGCUAUUUUUCUCCCCAAGCCACUUACAGGAAGCAGAGCUGCCCUCCCCUCCACUUCAGGUUUUCCUAGCAAAAAGGAAAGCCAGAAUAAACCAAGGAACGGUGCGGCUGGAAGUCCCGGUCAAGCAAGCGCCAAUCUUUCUCCCAGGGCUCUCCAGCGUGGGUGCAAACCAGCUCGGCAUAAGCCGGGCAAGGUUUCUUUCGGAGAUGGAGGAGUGGGCGAGCUGAGCUGGGGCGGCAGCAGCCCUCCCCGGGGCGCCCGGCCCCCCACAGUCCCCCCAGCUGCCAAUGUUUCUCCUCGGGCUCUGGCAUCUAUUUUAAUCCGUCUUGGUUUUGCGUUCCCCCCCCCCCCCCCGAUUAGCAGGCAAAGCAGCGAGCCGUCAAUACACAAAGAUUAAUUCACCCCACGUGGGAGCCCCUGCCAUCAGCCACAGCCCACCAUGCGAGAGGGGAAACUGAGGCAGCCGCAGCAUCCCGUGCGAGGGAUGCGAAGCCCAAAAAAACCCCUGCGGGGCAGUUUUUCCUGCCUCUCGAGUGCUGGCAGAAGUCGCCUGUGGUUAAAGCCUGUGCCUGUUGCUGGCUUGCCUUGAGAUGGCAUCCCCGGACUCGGGGCUGUCGGGUCCUCCUGGGGGCAGCUCAUUUGUGUGCUUAGGGCCAGAGGGCACAUGCGUGUGCGCACACACGCUCAGACACAUGCACACGCAUGACUGAGGGCCCGCGGCAGGUCCCCGGUCAGCUUGCAUUGCAAAGGGAGACGAGUCGAGACAGCCACUCUCCGUCCCUGUCCGGGCACCGCCUGGGAGACAGAUGGACAGACAGACAGGCCGUUCUGCAGCGCUCUCCGGGCACCGCCUGGGAGACGGACAGAUGGACAGACAGACAGGCCGUUCUACAGCGCUCUCCGGGCACCGCCUGGGUGACAGACGGACGGACAGACCACUGUGCGUUGGAGUGGCCAGACGGACAGACAGCCGCUCACCGUCCGGCGUCCUCCCAGCUGCGCAUCGUCUGCCCGCAGGCUCCAUCUUGUGGAAGAUGCUUCCCCGAGGAGCCGGAGUGGGAAGCUGCCCCUCGGUGUGGGAGCCAGCGUGCGGGGGUCCGCUCGGCACCGCCGGCGUGCCGGCGCGGCAGGAGGGUCCCUGGCAGGCUGGCGGUGCUGGCACCCAGCCGGCACCCUGGCUCCCCGGCUCUGCCUCCAUGGGCUUGAUAAUGCAUCACGCCUCUGUACAGUUACUCUGAGGAAUAAAUGCGGUGGAAUUUAUUUCAACAGAUGGAGGACAAUUUUCUUCUCAUCAUUUAACCGACACGCCGAGCGCCUCCCUUCGCGGGGUCCCUGUGCGGCAGAGAACGGAUACGGAGAGCAGGGGUACUACGCCGUGCUCAUCCUGCCGCUCCGUUACAGAGGGAAUUUCUCUCCACGUUUAGGGGAAUUUAGAUUCUGCAAAGAAAAGGAAGGAAUGAAAAGCACUGGCAAGUCCCGCCAUGCCGUACCGCCUGCGGCGCGGCCGCACCGGGGCUUUGCUGGCAGCGGCGGCGGGCAGCUCCUGCCAUCCUGGCCCUCAGCACCCCGCGCUACCUCUCAGCGCUCGGCCGUAGGGUAAAACUGGGUCUUCCUCAGCCUGCUAGAUGUUCUGCCUUCAUUGAGGUUUAUUUACCAUAUAAUGGGAGACAGUAAUUUCACUGUAUAUAAUUUAAUGACACAUUAGGAAAGAAUUAAUCACUGGAAGCGGCGCUCGCGCUGGGCUGCUUUGCUGAGAUCUGGCGAGAGGAGCCCCGCUCCCAGCCCUCGCUACCCGGUGCCGGGUGGUGCAGCCCCUCGGCAGCGAGACUUUGGCGGGCAGCGCCGCGGCAGGCAGGCAGAAAUGCUGCCAGCACCAUCGCUGCCCGCUUUCUCGCCCCAAGUGGCCCAGGUUCCUUUGCAAUCCGGCUGUGCCCCGAGGCUGCGGACACGGCUGGGGGGCCGUGAUUGGAGACGGUGCUCCGUAGGAAAACACGAUACACAAAACUCUCAAGAGCACAUCCAAUUUCCACUCAUUAAGCCAUAAUUUCCAUCAUUUUAAUUACAUAAAAGGCAGAUAAAUGGUGAGUAUGCUCCUACUUGUGCCUUUUCUCUUAAUUAUUAGUCCUUUGCACAGGCCAGUUUGCAAUGAAUCAGCCUUUAAACAGUGUUCAAUCGGAACAUGUUCUGCUUUAUUUGAAUUAUCUUGUUGGCCGAUCAUUCCCCAGAACAUAAUAAAACAAACAUUAAUUACUACUUCAGCGGGUGUAAUCUUCUUGAAAGCACUCGACACUGCUCAAAUGCCAUUGUAGCCUCAUGCUCCGCACUUCAAGGCGCGUGGGUAAACGAACUCAUCCCGCGGGUCUGAGCGCGCAAGCGGAGCCCGCGCCUGCCGCUCCGAACAGCCGCCUUCAGAAAAGUUUGGAAAACGUGCAGGUAUGCAAAGGAAAAAAACCAAGGCUGUCGUCCAAAGAGGAUGGAAGAUCCGUUGGCUCGGUGGGACGCAGCGGGAUGCAGCAGGGUCGGACCACACCACGUGCCGCAGCACGCCGGGCUCCCGGCGCCGGGACGGGCUGGACUCAAGGCAGCCGGUGAGCAGCCGCGCCGACGCUUGCGUUUCAGCUUGCGCAGGGCUUAUUUGGGUCUUGCGUCGAUCGAUUUGGAAUGUUUCAUGUAUGUGUAAAUGGCAGCUCCUAACCUCCACUCCAAGUUUCCGAUGGCAUUUCCAGCGCUGUUGCUAAAACACCCCGGGCGUCGCAACUCGCCAGGGGACGACAGAGAGCCAGGCACUCGGCGUGCGCAAAUGUCUGCUAAAACCCGAGCCGAUGGCACGGGCUGGGAUGACAGGCACGCACCCCGGUCUAGCCUGUCCAGCUCUUUUACUGGUCCCAGCAAGGUCAGUCGGAGGCUGAAGGAAAGGAGGGGCUGGGGCUACACUUUUUGGGGGCGGUGGGGGGGUACAGAGGCCGGGAGCUCCCUCCCCACACAGCUAGCUGGGGAUGCUCACAGCUGGGGCACUCAGCACGGCCCCGCAGCUCGCCCAUAAAAGCCGGGAGGGCUUUUUGGAUGGAAGGAGAGGUCUCUGGUGUGAGGGCUCUCCAGCUGGAUUCUCCCCUCCUGCUGAGCUUUGCUUCAGAAAAUCCCUGCCUGGAAAGACCUGCUGAGGAAACCUCUAUCAGCUGCCAGUGGGGCUGCUGCAGGCUCCUGUGCGUGGCCAGGCUUUGCAUCCCCAGGGCUUCGCUGCCCUUCGGAAAGGCUUUCCCACUGGCAAAGCAAUCGGAGGGCCAGGAAAACACCAGCGUGGGGCAGGGAAGAGGAUUUUCCAGGAGCAGCGAGCUUCAUUGAGCAUGCAUGAAGCCUCCUCGUGGUCACCCCUGGGCCAGCGCUGGAGACACAAGGUUUCCAUGGAGAACUAUGUGGAAUCAAAACUUACCCUGUGUCAACGCAUUCUCAGGUGUGCCUCUUCAAAUACCGGUACGUGCCAAAAAGAAAAUGUCUGAGUUUCCUAAAUACUCAGUAAUGUUACUUUAAAGCACUGCGUUUGCAUUUGUGCGAGAAAAAAGGAAUUCAAAUAUGCUUUUAAUGAAGAAAAUUGUUUCAUGUCAUUUUGUUAACAUUCCACCCACCCCCAAAGGGCCGUGUGUUUCUUUUCCUUGGGUGUUUCCCCCAAGCAGGGUGCCCAGAAACCGGGGCGAAGGGGCACAGGGCAGGCAGGGAGAGCCCCGGUCCAGCCCCAGCAUCCUGGGGAAGGAGGAGGAGGAGGAGGAGGAGGUGCUCUGCGGAUAGAGCCAUAUGUUGUCAAGUUAAUAAAAGACCUUGAAAAGCAUAAAUCCUCUGUAUGCUGGCUGCUAGCCCAGGUGCAUAAUUUCCUUGCCAUUGGGGGGGAGCAGACAGCAUCUGUACAGCUCCUGUAUUGUAAGCUAACGAAAGAGCCCACAAUGAAACGCUCCAUCCCCCAAGGACGGCGAGGGAACUCAGCGCUCUCCAUCAGAGCUAUUAUUUGUGUUGGAGGAGAGCCUGGCAGGCUCGAGCAAGGCUUUCUCCUGCUCCCUGUGCUGGAGAAAGACUAUUCCUGCUGCAAAGGGCUCCCAGCUCCGAGGCGAGCACCCGGGGUCCUGGGAGGCA